rnacentral:pre_miRNA from 1 species
AAACCGCCCCCUAAAUUUUGCAACUGUAGUAGUUUUGGACCCCAAGGCCAAUUUUAAAUAAAAAAUAAAAAAAUAACAUGUGGCACCUCACUUAGGGUGCCACAUCAGCGUAGACCAAUUCAAAAUUGGCCUUUGGGGCCAAAACUACCACAGGUGCAAAACUUAGGGGGCAGUUU